rnacentral:rRNA from 1 species
CAGCAGCCGCGGUAAUACGUAGGUGGCAAGUGUUGUCCGGAAUUAUUGAGCGUAAAGGGCGCGUAGGCGGACAGUUCAGUCGGGGGUGAAAGCCCGGGGCUCAACCUCGGAAUUGCCUUCGAUACUGGCUGUCUUGAGUAUGAGAGGGGUGUGUGGAACUCCGAGUGUAGGGGUGAAAUUCGUAGAUAUUCGGAAGAACACCAGUGGCGAAGGCGACACACUGGCUCAUUACUGACGCUGAGGCGCGAAAGCGUGGGGAGCAAACAGGAUUAGAUACCCGUGUAGUCCCUGUCUCUUAUAC